rnacentral:lncRNA from 1 species
CCAACUUAAUUUCAAACACGCCUAGCUUAUUUUCCUUAUCCCCUCUUCGAUUCUCACCACCUGUAUGUAUUUUCUUUUAUUUUAAUUUUUUCUGACUUUGUUUCUUGCCAUUUACGCUGUACCACUAUCAUUGAAUUGUUUCUUUAUCCUAGCAUGUGCUUGCAGUACAUUACUUUUUAGCUAAUUGCUACCAUUUCUUUUCUAAAGGUGCUACCUUUGUGUUUUUUUUAAUGAAACGUAUUAAUUGGAGUAUUCAGUUACGUUAUAUUUUUAUUUUUUUGUUACAUGUUACUAGGGGUGCUUAUGGUUCAGUUUGGAUUGGUUUUGAGGUAAAAACUCAUCUG